rnacentral:lncRNA from 1 species
CAUAUUUGAGGUCAUUACGGCUUCAUUUGAAUUUAUACUUCAGCUAGCUACGGUUGAGCCAUUACAAGUCUGUUGUGAUAUUGUCGUAAGGUGACAAGAUGAUCUGUUCAUUGAUGUGGAUAUUAUCUGUGAGUGGUGUACUCUUUGUGAGGAGUGAUUCAGAUGGAACAAACACAAGUACAAGUACAAGUACAAGUACUGAAACUACAACAGAAACGCCAUUAACAUCUACAAUUACAAUCAACACUGAAACCUGUUGUACAGUUGCAAUCCCCUUAACAGUUAAUUUAGCUUUGCUACUGGCUGUCAUUUGCAUCAGAAUAUUUCUUCUGAUUAUGGGGAAGUGCGGAUAAAGAAAAAAGUUUCGUGAAGGAGGAUAUGUAGUGGUUCACGUGUUCUCACAUUUGUUGUCAUGUAUUCAGUAAGACAUGAAACAAUGCUGUUCUGAUUUGCUUGGGCAUUGUGUUAUGCCAUAUUAAUUUCGAUAAACAUUCAUAUGCUGUCUUGAUAUGUACAUAUACGUGUAUAGUUGUAAAAAAUAUUUGUCUCAUUUAUCGGGCUUGCAUGACUUACAUGAAAGCAUAUUUCCGUUUGAUUCGUUUCCAAUAACCGAUGGCAGUAAUGAACGAUUGAGGUCGAAAUUAUCAGUAAACCUUUCUUGUCACUGCUAACUAAUUUUAGAGAAGUACCCCUGUUCAGUAAAACUUCAGUAUCAGAUAAUAUGGAAAUAUACAUGCAGAUAAAGGAAUUGGAUCCAAAAGACAUUAAUAAGCACCAGGUCUUGUAAAUGUACAUACUAUUAUUAUCCAUGAAAGCAGACGAAACAAGUAUCUGGCGCCUACAUAUAACGAAGUUCAAUUUAUCGCCUUUAAAUCCAUGGAAUGCUUUUCAGAAUAUCAUAUACAAAUAAACGCAUUUUUGGCUCAACAAUAACCAUCGUGUUUGGUGAGUAUGUGGGUUUGGCUUCUCAUAUAACACACAGUGCCUCACGGUUUUGUUUGAUAAUUACUUCUAACCUUGUUGUGCACCCACAA